GCAAUCCAGGGAAAAGGCAGGAACAGCCCUGACGGGCCGAGGACAGUGAGGACGACCCGAUGAAAGAGACGCCAAGAAAGUCCCCGGCCAGAAAGACUCCUCGUUUGUCCUUGUCAUCCCCCUUGUCCUCCUUCAAGUCAUGUGCGUUCGGAAAGGGGAUGUUCGCCAACUCCAGCGUGCUCGGCAUCAUCAUCGUAUGUUUAACGAUAUCAACGUUCUAUCUUAGCGGCAGACCCGGUGGAAGGUAUGCGGAGGCGCGAAAAAGCGAAAUGUUGAAGCGAAUUCGAGCUGCAGCCGAACGAGAUGAUGGCCCAAAAAGAAAGCUCUCCUCAGCUCCUCAAGAUGGAGACACAACCGGCAACAGUAAAUCCACUACAAAACAACCCACUCGUGAUAUUCCGAUUACGUCGAAGAAUGAGAAAUCUCGCCCAUCAAUUCACCGCGGCGGAGAUCUUCCAAAAGGAUCUCCGAUAGCGGUAGCUUCUCCAGGGUCAAUACAAUUAGAGGGAUGGCCAGAAAUUACCAUCGAAGGGCAGUACGAGGGUCGAGGCUUCCAAAUUAACUUCCUCAAUGGGGGAGAUGGAUCUAUCUCUCUCCAUCUUAGCAUUCGUCCGAGGGGAACGGACCCCGCUCGGGAUUCGGUCUCCAUCGUCACCAACACCAAAGACAGAGGCUGGGGUCUCGAGCAGUACGCUUUACUACAAGGUAUACAUCUGAUCAUGGUUACACCUCUGCACCCCGAACAGAGGUACAUGUGUAAUUGUUGGAAAAAUCUUGUGAUGACGUGAUGCAAUCUGCGAAAAACAAUCUGAUAAUCUUAUCUCUCGCUCUUGUGUUUCGCCAGAUUGGAAAUUACACGAGAAUUUUCGACUGACCAUAUCAGGAAGCGAUGGUGCGUAUCAGGUCUUCAACAACGGCAAGCCGCUAAUCAACUCUUGCUACUAUCGCCAUCACUCUGGCAUAUGGUCGUAUGCCAAAGCUACACGGAUUGAUUUUGGAGGUUGUCUACGCCGCACUUACAAUGGUUGAUGUAGCGCCACAUAGGCAGUAGGAUUAUUCUAUGAUAUAAUGACCAGAUCUCGAACACUACUUACACUUUAGGCAAAGGAAUGCAAUUCAAGCUGUUCCAGAGCAACUACACAUCGCCAUUAUCGCCGCAGAUGCAAGCAGCAGCAGCAGCAUCAUCAAACUUGAUUCUCUCAUCCUCAACCUCAACAUCACCUAUUCUCUUCAUCCCGAUAAUGACUGCCCCCAGCAACAUUGCCCGUCGAAACACGCAGAGACGGACAUGGGCGUCACCCGAGAACCUCUCGCGCUACAAAGGCUCAGUAAAGAUUCGCUACGUCAUUGGGACCACCGACCUUGAUGACGGGGCCAAGGCGAAAUUGAAGGCCGAGAAUCAAGAGCACGGCGAUCUUCUACUGAUGGACUUCAAAGAUCACUAUCUUAAGUAUUAUCUAGUCGGCAGAUUGCAACGUGUUGAUGUACAACCACCUUUGUUCUUGGUGGCAGCAUUCACCAUUUAGUUCGCUUUUCACUACGACAUAACGCGCUCUAUGUGUUUGCCCCUCCCCCCCCCCCGCCCUCCUCCUUCCUCACUCUAAGCCUCACAGUGAAGACCGCGCACACGCUCACGCAUUUCGUCUACAAAGAGAAAGCGCCAUUUAUCUUGAAAGUGCGUUUCAGCUAAAAACUGAAAAUUUUCAAUUUGCCCCCAAACUUCUUCCCCACAUGUUUCUUCUUUUUCCCGAAGUGAUGAUGAAGGCACGGGGAAUUCUUCAACUUUAACUUUUGACCUAGAAGCAUUCUUCACAUGCUUCAGGAAUGUGAGAGGAUUUUGCUUGUCCUCACACAAGGCGCACAGCAACAAAAUUAAUACAUUUUAUGUCGUGUAUCACAGACUCCCCAUUACUAUUACUACUACUGCUGAUGCUGCUGAUGCUGAUGCUGCUGAUGCUGCUGCUGCUGCCACUACUCGAAGCAUCCAACAUACAAGUAUCUAUUGCUGUUUAUUAUUGCACAUAGACGGACGAUGAUGUGUACAUACGACUUGGUAAUGUCCUGAGGAAACUAGCGACAGUCAAGACGAAGUUCCUUUGGACGGGACAUUUCUCACAUAAAGGGUAGAGUUCCGAAAGCUUAUGUUCAUUAGAAAAGUAGUACUAGAACUAGUAUAAGUUGUUAAAUAGAAAUGAUAAAUGCAACGAUGCAUCAUGAUAGAAACGAAAUGCUAAUGACACAUGUCCACAUUCUCGCUUGCGAUCCUAGUGCCCAUUGGGACCACGUGGAAUUGAUCGCCAAUUGUUCCGGUUUCUGUUGUUGUUUUGAAACAGAACGGCCAUCAGGGAAGCUGGGCACAAGAAUUAUCUGCCAGAAUCUGAGUAUGUGAAAAUAAUUCUCUCCCCUGUACAUCAUCCCUCGCUUCGAUGUUCCUUCGGAUGAUUUGAAUCAUCAAAGACUGCGUUGCACUAAUGAGCGGUGUUGUUACUUUGUAUCGGGUGCAGGUAUAGCAGUCGAAAGCUCCCCAUUUUCGCUUACGGCCCAGCUUACAUGUUCUCGAGGGACCUUGCAAAAAGGACGGUUGAGCUGUAUCAAAAUGGGAAGCUUCCACAGCUUCGCCUUGAGGAUGUGUCUGUUGGCGUGUGGAUGAAGCAACAGAUGGAUAAUGGGUGAACGCACACACACACACACACACACACACACACACAAAUGUGUGCAUCAUGUAGUGAAGAGAGCUAUGACAUAAUGACUUUAAUGACACGACGUGCAAAGAAAAGUCGAGAUUAGAUGUGAUCUUUUGUUUGCUGCACGUUACCCGUCCUCAUUCUCCGCCUCCUCCUCCACUCCCCACCCCUUCCCUCUCCACCAUUCCUCAUGCAGAAUGGUUGU
rnacentral:rRNA from 1 species